UUUUAACUUGAAGACUCAGCUGCAGGAUAUUUAAACAAAAACAUUUCUCUUCGCCUUCAGGCUUUAUUGAUCUGGGAGAGAUUCCCUAUACUUACAUUUACAAGCACCGAUGGAACACAAGCAAAAACUGUCAAAAUUGAAGAAACAUAUCAAAGUUUUCCAUGUGUUUUCCAUUAAGAAGAUGAAUUGCAGAGUCGGACUGCACUUCAAGGAAUUUGGCCUGAUUUUUGUGGAUUUCUGUAGCAUUACCAAGAAAUUCCCAUUUACUCUGGGAGCGGCAAGGCUGUAUUUGAAAUCUUCUGAUCGAAAAAAAAAAGUUAACCCAGCUGUAUUCACAGUAUGUCACUGAUGCAGAUGAGAUUCCACUCUGUAUUUUGUUUGAAGCCAUCUGACAGGAUGAAGGAAUCCAGAGACAGAACUCAUCAAAAUGGAGGCAAGAGAGCAAUACCUUUGGAGCUGGAUUCUUUGAGGCAGAUUGAAUAAAUGCUCCGAAGUGAGCUAGAAACCGAAGGGAAUGUAUCCCUUUCUAAACUUUUUCAAAUUGCAUCACAGUGAUGGUAAGAGAAGAAUUUGUCUAUCUAUUGCCAGUUUUCAGUUUAAAGCACUAAACUAUGCAGAAAUCAAGACACAAAACUCGGAGAUAAGGCUGUAAUGAUGUCUUUUGUCCACUUUUGUCUGUUGUGCAAAGUAUGCUUUGUGAAAUCACUUGUUGUUUGGAGACUUCUGGAUCCUCACUUGUUAUGUUGAGCUACAAAAUAAAUUUUUAACAUGACCUCUGAAUUUUUCAAGCCUUAG
rnacentral:lncRNA from 1 species